rnacentral:rRNA from 1 species
UCUACGGGAGGCAGCAGUGGGGAAUAUUGGACAAUGGGGGCAACCCUGAUCCAGCCAUGCCGCGGGUGUGAAGAAGGCCCUCGGGUUGUAAAGCACUUUCAGUGAGGAAGAACGCCUGGUGGUUAAUACCCAUCAGGAAAGACAUCACUCACAGAAGAAGCACCGGCUAACUCCGUGCCAGCAGCCGCGGUAAUACGGAGGGUGCGAGCGUUAAUCGGAAUUACUGGGCGUAAAGCGCGCGUAGGUGGCUUGAUAAGCCGGUUGUGAAAGCCCCGGGCUCAACCUGGGAACGGCAUCCGGAACUGUCAAGCUAGAGUGCAGGAGAGGAAGGUAGAAUUCCCGGUGUAGCGGUGAAAUGCGUAGAGAUCGGGAGGAAUACCAGUGGCGAAGGCGGCCUUCUGGACUGACACUGACACUGAGGUGCGAAAGCGUGGGUAGCAAACAGGAUUAGAUACCCCGGUAGUC